CCUACGGGUGGCAGCAGUGGGGAAUAUUGCACAAUGGGGGAAACCCUGAUGCAGCGACGCCGCGUGAGCGAUGAAGUAUUUCGGUAUGUAAACCUCUAUCAGCAGGGAAGAAAAUGACGGUACCUGACUAACAAUCCCCGGCUAACUACGUGCCAGCAGCCGCGGUAAUACGUAGGGCGCACGCGUUAUCCGGAAUUACUGGGUGUAAAGUGAGCGUAGACGGCGGGGCAAGCCAGAUGUGAAAGCCCGGGGCUCAACCCCGGGACUGCAUUUGGAACUGUGCUGCUAGAGUGUCGGAGAGGCAGGUGGAAUUCCUGGUGUAGCGGUGAAAUGCGUAGAUAUUAGGAGGAACACCAGUGGCGAAGGCGGCCUGCUGGACGAUGACUGACGUUGAGGCUCGAAAGCGUGGGGAGCAAACAGGAUUAGAUACCCGUGUAGUC
rnacentral:rRNA from 1 species